GGGCACGGUAGCUGAAGAGU
rnacentral:miRNA from 1 species